rnacentral:rRNA from 1 species
AGAACUUUGAGGGGAGCUCUCUCCAGUACGAGAGGACCGAGAGGGCAGGACCUCUGGUGUACCAGUUGUGCCGCCAGGCGCAGCGCUGGGUAGCUAUGUCCUGACGGGAUAAGCGCUGAAAGCAUCUAAGUGCGAAGCCCACCCCAAGAUUAGAGUUCGCUUGAGGCUGGUCGCAGACUACGACCU